CUACGGGUGGCUGCAGUAAGGAAUAUUGGGCAAUGGGCGCAAGCCUGACCCAGCCAUGCCGCGUGCAGGAAGACGGCCUUAUGGGUUGUAAACUGCUUUUGUUAGGGAAUAAACCCCCGUACGUGUACGGGGCUGAAUGUACCUAAAGAAUAAGCAUCGGCUAACUCCGAGCCAGCAGCCGCGGUAAUACGGAGGAUGCAAGCGUUAUCCGGAUUCAUUGGGUUUAAAGGGUGCGCAGGCGGACUGAUAAGUCAGUGGUGAAAUCCUACGGCUCAACCGUAGAACUGCCAUUGAUACUGUCAGUCUUGAGUCUAGUUGAAGUGGGCGGAAUGUAGCAUGUAGCGGUGAAAUGCAUAGAUAUGCUACAGAACACCUAUUGCGAAGGCAGCUCACUAAACUAUAACUGACGCUCAUGCACGAAAGCGUGGGGAGCAAACAGGAUUAGAUACCCCUGUAGUC
rnacentral:rRNA from 1 species